GACGAACGCUGGCGGCGUGCUUAACACAUGCAAGUCGAACGGAAAGGCCCUGCUUUUGUGGGGUGCUCGAGUGGCGAACGGGUGAGUAACACGUGAGUAACCUGCCCUUGACUUUGGGAUAACUUCAGGAAACUGGGGCUAAUACCGGAUAGGAGCUCCUGCUGCAUGGUGGGGGUUGGAAAGUUUCGGCGGUUGGGGCUGGUCUCGCGGCUUAUCAGCUUGUUGGUGGGGUAGUGGCUUACCAAGGCUUUGACGGGUAGCCGGCCUGAGAGGGUGACCGGCCACAAUGGGACUGAGAUACGGCCCAGACGCCAACGGGAGGCAGCAGUGGGGAAUAUUGCACAAUGGGCGGAAGCCUGAUGCAGCAACGCCGCGUGCGGGAUGACGGCCUUCGGGUUGUAAACCGCUUUCGCCUGUGACGAAGCGUGAGUGACGGUAAUGGGUAAAGAAGCACCGGCUAACUACGUG
rnacentral:rRNA from 1 species